UGAGGGAAAGGUGAAAAGAACCCCGGGAGGGGAGUGAAAUAGAACCUGAAACCCUGCACUUACAAGCUGUGGAAGCACAUUUCUUGUGUGACCGCGUACUUUUUGUAGAACGGGCCAACGAGUUACGGUAAGUAGCAAGGUUAAGCACUUAAGGUGCGGAGCCGUAGCGAAAGCGAGUUUUAACUGAGCGUUCAGUUACUUGACGUAGACCCGAAACCGGGCGACCUACCCAUGAGCAGGAUGAAGCGAAAGUAA
rnacentral:rRNA from 1 species